GGCUUUCUAUAACCAACUGGAACCCCAUGGUCCGAUCUCUCAUCGUCAGAAAAAACUCGAUUCUGAUACUCACCAACCACCACCGGAGAGCCUACGGGCACACCCGAUAGGGCAAUAGAAACUGGCAUCGGCGGCGGCGAUGACAGAACCGCAAAACCCUCAUCUGGCUUCUGCCCAACAACUCCACUACCACCACUAACACUAAUCUGAGCAAACUGCUCCUCAAUACCCACCACCUUCUGAUCCUGCACAACCCCUCUAACCCCUCCACCUCCACCACUACCACCACCAUCCUCUACAUGUACUCUUAUCGGAGGCAAAUUCGCAAGUGAAGGCGAAGAAGAAGUAGACCCAAAUGAUGACGUAGUCUCCAACAUCGGAGAAUCCGG
rnacentral:misc_RNA from 1 species